rnacentral:rRNA from 1 species
CCCUUAGAUGUUCUGGGCAGCACGCGCGCUACAAUGGUCUUCGCAAACGGCUGCAUUCUCGAAGGAGAAUGCCAAUCUUGGAAUCUAUGCCUUGGUCGGGACAGUUGCUUGCAAUUUUUCGACUCGAACCAGGAAUUCCUUGUAAUCGUGAUUCAUCACAUCACGAUGAAUACGUCCCUGCCCUUUGUACACACCGCCCGUCGCUCCUACCGAUCGAAGAGUUAGGUGAAUUGUUUUGAUCGAUAAGAUUUGACUAUGGUCAACUCUCGUUGUGAAAUUCUGUGAAUCUGACUGUUUAGAGGAAGGAAAAGUCGUAACA